rnacentral:misc_RNA from 1 species
GAUGAAGAACGCAGCAAAAUGCGAUAAGUAAUGUGAAUUGCGGAAUUCAGUGAAUCAUCGAAUCUUUGAACGCACAUUGCGCCCGCCAGUAUUCUGGCGGGCAUGCCUGUUCGAGCGCCAUUUCAACCCUCAAGCACAGCUUGGUGUUGGGACUCGCGUUAAUUCGCGUUCCCCAAAUUGAUUGGCGGUCACGUCGAGCUUCCAUAGCGUAGUAGUAAAACCCUCGUUACUGGUAAUCGUCGCGGCCACGCCGUUAAACCCCAACUUCUGAAUGUUGACCUCGGAUCAGGUAGGAAUACCCGCUGAACUUAAGCAUAUCAAUAAGCGGAGGA